AACUGACAAGUGAGAAGAUGAGAGGGGGGAUGAAUAGAUGCUGACAUAAUGAUAUUAUAUGGAGAAAAAGUCAUUUUUUAAAGAUCACAAAAGGAGAAGCAGGUUCCAGGAUGAACCACAAAAACAGUAACUCAACUUCUGUCCUGGGCUCUUUAUAUUAAAUCUCACUAGAAGUUAAAGAGACACACGCUUGCAUUGAGUGUAAAAGGAGGGAAACUUAUAGUCCUUUUAAGCAGAAACCAAGCAAGUUGCUAGACAGCUGGCUGGUACAACUGGAAGAUGAUGGGGGUGGUGUGCAUGAUGGUUACUACAGAAAAACCAGCAACAGAGGGACUUCUCCUAAAGUCCAUCAUGCCAAACUUUGAUCCAUUUGAAGAUGGCAGUGAACCACCUCAGAACUUUGUUUUGUUUUCUUUACAACUACGC
rnacentral:lncRNA from 1 species